rnacentral:rRNA from 1 species
UACGUAGGGGGCAAGCGUUGUCCGGAAUUAUUGGGCGUAAAGAGCGUGUAGGCGGUCCGGUAAGUCAGCUGUGAAAGUCAAAGGCUCAACCUUUGAAUGCCGAUGGAUACUGCGGAGCUAGAGUACGGAAGAGGCGAGUGGAAUUCCUGGUGUAGCGGUGGAAUGCGCAGAUAUCAGGAGGAACACCAAUAGCGAAGGCAGCUCGCUGGGACGUUACUGACACUAAGGCGCGAAAGCGUGGGGGAGCGAACAGG